rnacentral:rRNA from 1 species
UACGUAGGGUGCGAGCGUUAAUCGGAAUUACUGGGCGUAAAGCGUGCGUAGGCGGUUGGCAAAGUCAGCUGUGAAAGCCCCGGGCUUAACCUGGGAAUGGCGGUUGAAACUAGUCAACUCGAAUCUGGCAGAGGGGGGUGGAAUUCCACGUGUAGCAGUGAAAUGCGUAGAGAUGUGGAGGAACACCGAUGGCGAAGGCAGCCCCCUGGGCUGAGAUUGACGCUCAGGCACGAAAGCGUGGGGAGCAAACAGG